rnacentral:rRNA from 1 species
GAUGAACGCUGGCGGCGUGCCUAAUACAUGCAAGUCGAGCGAACAGACGAGGAGCUUGCUCCUCUGACGUUAGCGGCGGACGGGUGAGUAACACGUGGAUAACCUACCUAUAAGACUGGGAUAACUUCGGGAAACCGGAGCUAAUACCGGAUAAUAUAUUGAACCGCAUGGUUCAAUAGUCAAAGACGGUUUUGCUGUCACUUAUAGAUGGUUCCGCGACGCAUUAGCUAGUUGGUAAGGUAACGGCUUACCAAGGCAACGAUGCGUAGCCGACCUGAGAGGGUGAUCGGCCACACUGGAACUGAGACACGGUCCAGACUCCUACGGGAGGCAGCAGUAGGGAAUAUUCGGCAAUGGGCGAAAGCUUGACGCAGCAACGCCGCGUGAGUGAAGAAGGUCUUCGGAUCGUAAAGCUCUGUUAUUAGGGAAGAACAAAUGUGUAAGUAACUAUGCACGUCUUGACGGUACCUAAUCAGAAAGCCACGGCUAACUACGUG